UAGAAGGCCCUAAUGAAAACCCUAAGAGAGAGAUCCUUCUGCUCUUCGAUUUCAUUGAUUGCGGUGGUGAGACUGUGACGAUGGCCUUUGAGUUUCGUAACGGAGGCGUCGUGGUUACUCACUUUAAUCCUGCUAUGAGUUUGUGAAAGUCCAAAGAAACGAAUCGUCGUCGAGAGACUUCGUUUCAGUGGUUUGAAUAACAAGGGUGAAGAUGAACCAGAGGAGCGAUGCGGUGUGGAGGAGCAGAGAGGAGUGCGGAGGAAGAGAGAAGAGGCUGUACGGAGGAUUACCACCGCCGUUGAAUAUUAUUUCUAUUUUUGCAGGCUCGUGAUUUGAGGAUGAUGGGUUAUAUAAAGUUUAUAUAGGCUGGAAAAAGACGAUGGAGGGAGUGACGUAGCCAUACCAGAGCAUUUGAUCAAACUCCACCCUGCUGCAGAGCCUGGAUUAUUUGAUCUGGUGGGUUAUGUCAUCUCCGCCGUGGAAGGGAAGCCAUACCAGAGUGUGGAGAGGCAUGGACGUAUUGAUUUUCAACGGUUGGCAUUAGUGGACCAUUCAGCCGUUGGAAUAAAUGGAAGAUGGGAACAGAUUGUACAAAGACAUGAUCAGACUGGUCGCUUAGUACAAAGGGAUGACCACUUGGGCUCGAUGAGUUAAUGCAUUUGUCAAUCCAUCUAAGACCAAUGUUUUUUCAAUGACGUUUCUCCUGUUCUUUACGAAGUUAUAUGCAGCAGUACGAUGAUGUUGAAAUGUCUGCCCUUGGGAUGGGGAUGGGUAUGCAUGUUCUUACUCUCUCUCCUAUAAAGUCUUCUGUGUAUCGAAACUGUGAUAGCCUUUCUAAUGAUUGCCUCUUCAAGAGUAAGAAUUUUUAGAGUUCUGGAUUCAACAUAUUAUAUACUAAGUAUUUUUAUGGUUGUCAUGGAUCCCAUUCUUAAUUUUAUCAGUUUUGGUUUUCUAUGGUUUUGAUCUUGCACAUUGUAUCUGACGAUAAAAUCUGAAACAGCAUGCUGAAUCAACCCAGCAAGCUGCAGCAAUUUGAGUAUCAAAGAUUCCAUUUCAUUUUUUGUGAGUUUGUAAGUUGACAAAACAUCUUCAAGGAAGAGGCGUACAUAAAAAAAGAUGGAAUCUUUUCAGUUCGGAAUUUACAGUGCUGGAGUGUCCACCUGUGCCAGCCUAGAAGGAGGUGCAGAUGUCCUUCAAGCUAAGCUGCCUGGAGUGGGCACACAAGGAUUAGCUGUUGCACCAAGUGAUUAUUGCGGUGUUUCAGCAGUAUCAACCAAGCAACAACUUGAUCCAGAAGAAAAUGGACCGAAGAAAGCACGUUUGGAAUAAGUAUUCUGGAUAGCUGCACCACCGCAAAAUCAACUUAUGAAACUUUUGGCUUUAGCAUCUUCUCAAUUUCUGUUUUCCCUUUUUUUUUUGUCUUUGAAUUCUAUGUGGUGGUCGAUACUCGAACUAUUAAUGAAAAUUCGUUUUUCCCUUUC